UGGUAGCCAUAGAGGAGAGGGUACACCCGACCCCAUUCCGAACUCGGAAGUUAAGCUCUCCAUCGCCGAUGAUACUGCAUAACGUCAUGUGGGAAAGUAGGCCGCUGCC
rnacentral:rRNA from 2 species